UACGUAGGGUGCGAGCGUUAAUCGGAAUUACUGGGCGUAAAGCGUGCGUAGGCGGUUUCAUAAGCCUUGAUGUGAAUGACCCCGGGCUCAACCUGGGAAUGGCAUUGAGGACUGUGGAGCUAGAGUGCGGCAGAGGGAGGUGGAAUUCCACGUGUAGCAGUGAAAUGCGUAGAGAUGUGGAGGAACACCGAUGGCGAAGGCGAGCCUCCUGGGGCCCGCACCACG
rnacentral:rRNA from 1 species